UUCGCAAGCGAACUGAUCAAAAC
rnacentral:miRNA from 1 species